rnacentral:lncRNA from 1 species
CUCUGUACCAGUAACACCCUGUAUAUAGCCUCCACAUUGACUCUGUACCGGUACCCCCUAUAUAUAGCCUCCACAUUGACUCUGUACUGGUACCCCCUGUAUAUAGCCUCCACAUUGACUCUGUACCAGUACCCCCUGUAUAUAGCCUCCACAUUGACUCUGUACCGUAAUACCCUGUAUAUAGCCUCCACAUUGACUCUGUACCGUAAUACCCUGUAUAUAGCCUCCACAUUGACUCUGUACCGUAAUACCCUGUAUAUAGCCUCCACAUUGACUCUGUACCGUAAUACCCUGUAUAUAGCCUCCACAUUGACUCUGUACCGUAAUACCCUGUAUAUAACCUCCACUUUGACUCUGUACCGUAAUACCCUGUAUAUAGCCUCCACAUUCUCUCUGUACCGGUACCCCCUGUAUAUAGCCUCCCCAUUGACUCUGUACCGGUACCCCCUGUAUAUAGUCUCCACAUUGACUCUGUACCGGUACCCCCUGUAUAUAGUCUCCACAUUGACUCUGUACCGGUACCCCCUGUAUAUAGCCUCCCCAUUGACUCUGUACCGGUACCCCCUGUAUAUAGCCUCCCCAUUGACUCUGUACCGGGACCCCCUGUAUAUAGCCUCCCCAUUGACUCUGUACCGGUACCCCCUGUAUAUAGCCUCCCCAUUGACUCUGUACCGGUACCCCCUGUAUAUAGCCUCCACAUUGACUCUGUACCGGUACCCCCUGUAUAUAGCCUCCACAUUGACUCUGUACUGGUACCCCCUGUAUAUAGCCUCCACAUUGACUCUGUACCGGUACCCCCUGUAUAUAGCCUCCACAUUGACUCUGUACCGGUACCCCCUGUAUAUAGCCUCCACAUUGACUCUGUACUGGUACCCCCUGUAUAUAGCCUCCACAUUGACUCUGUACCGGUACCCCCUGUAUAUAGCCUCCACAUUGACUCUGUACCGGUACCCCCUGUAUAUAGCCUCCACAUUGACUCUUCAGCUUGAUGUGCCUGGUCUGAGGCUCACUACCGAGUUUGGAACUCAAUAG